GGGAAGCUUACAUGGCAGUCGAGGGGCAUCGGGAGGGAACUUACUUUCCUUGCCGGCGACCGGCGCACGGGUGAGUAACACGUAUGCAACCUGCCCUCUUCAGGGGGACAACCUUCCGAAAGGGAGGCUAAUCCCGCGUAUAUCGGUUUCGGGCAUCCGUUAUCGAGGAAAGAUUCAUCGGAAGAGGAUGGGCAUGCGGCGCAUUAGCUAGACGGCGGGGUAACGGCCCACCGUGGCGACGAUGCGUAGGGGUUCUGAGAGGAAGGUCCCCCACACUGGUACUGAGACACGGACCAGACUCCUACGGGAGGCAGCAGUGAGGAAUAUUGGUCAAUGGGAGAGAUCCUGAACCAGCCAAGCCGCGUGAGGGAAGACGGCCCUAUGGGUUGUAAACCUCUUUUGUCGGAGAACAAAACCCGGGACGUGUCCCGGACUGCGUGUAUCCGAAGAAAAAGCAUCGGCUAACUCCGUGCCAGCAGCCGCGGUAAUACGGAGGAUGCGAGCGUUAUCCGGAUUUAUUGGGUUUAAAGGGUGCGUAGGCGGUCUGUUAAGUCAGCGGUAAAAUUGCGGGGCUCAACCCCGUCGAGCCGUUGAAACUGGCAGACUUGAGUUGGCGAGAAGUACGCGGAAUGCGCGGUGUAGCGGUGAAAUGCAUAGAUAUCGCGCAGAACUCCGAUUGCGAAGGCAGCGUACCGGCGCCAGACUGACGCUGAGGCACGAAAGCGUGGGGAUCGAACAGGAUUGGAUACC
rnacentral:rRNA from 1 species